GCCAUGAGGGCGACAUAUGUCGAGAAAUAACUUCACACGGACUUCUCCUACCUGUUGUCUUGUUAAGAUAUGCCAUUACCAACACGAGACCCAUAGGCAGACGACAGAUUGACGGGCGACGAGUGCAGAUAGAAGAAGAAUUGGAGAUUCAGAGGCAACGCUACAGACUAGUGGCUAUACUGUGCCACUUUGGAGAUUUCAACUCUGGCCACUACACUGCCUACACUCUUCGGAAUGAACAAUGGUUCCUUUGUAAUGAUGAGAAAGUCCAUCAAUGCAACAUCAUGAAUGAAAUGGCAGCUGCUGAUCACUCUUAUGUUUUCUUCUACAAGAAAUGUGUAGGCACUCUUCAGCAUCAGACACAUCACAGCCAUCCUAGGCCUGCACCCAAACUGACAGAAGACAAUUGCAGCACUCAAUCCAGGUUUCAGGAAGGUGGAGUUUCUGUUACCCACCUGGUACCAAAUACAUCACACAAGGGCCAGAUCAACAAGUCUCAAGGAAUACAGUCCAGAAAGAGAAAGAUCAUACAAUCAACUGGCCUGGAAAAGCUGCUACCAAGACAGAAGGUGACCAGAGCUACCAUGCCAGAUGGAAUGGUUAAGUACUACAUCCAACUGCAGCCAAGGAUUGUCACCAAGAGUA